UAAACAAUGAGCUCAGCAAUUCGGUAGUUCUAUAUAACAUGCAAAGAGUUUAUGCAUAUGUUCACUAAAUUGUGUGGUUUGAGUCAGAUCUUUCUGCAUUAGGCCUUUAUUUUGUAUUGAAUCUUAUGUGAUUGAUUGAUUUUUUAUUGUUGAACUGGAGAAUGUUUCACUCAUAAGGAGACGUCAUUACUGCCCGUGAAGGACUUCAAAAUUUAGGCCUAUGCUCGGCGCUUACGGCCUUUGAGCAGGGAGGGAUCUCUAUCGUGCCACACCUGCUGUGACACGGGACCUCGGUUUUUGCGAUCUCAACCGAAAGACCGCCCCAUUUAGUCGCCUCUUACGACAAGCAAGGGGAAGUGGGGACUUAUUCGAACCCGGAUCCCAUAUAGUUUUACGCUAAAUAUUUAAAUAUAAUUCAUUUUUACUCUAGAAGUACUUUGGACCUAAACUCUAUUAUGGAUAUAGCAGAACAGUUUUAUAGUUAUGAAAACAACUAUCUGUGCACUUCGCACCCUAUGAGAUUACAACGAAAAAGUACGUCACGACGUACAUCUUACAAUUCAUGUCUAUAUGUUGUCGUUAUAUUGACAGGUGUUAUCAAGUGAUAAGCCGUAUACGUGAAAAAAAAUUCUUGUCAAAUAAUAUAUUAUUUCAAUUUCGUAUCAAAUCGCUCAACAUUUUUAUAUUUGCGCGAAGGUCAUAAUUCAUAUUGUGACCUUGAAAUCGCCCCUCUAUUUUCUCCCGAUCAUCACUACGUUAUGUAAGGAAAUCUAAUUUACAUAAUUAUUGCGAGCAGUGUGUAAAGGGGUAACGAUAUACGGUGUAUGGUGGUGUAUAAAGUGUAUAUAUUUAUAUUCCUGUUACCAAAGGAAGGGUUAGGCCAAACUUCUGACACCUAAAGAAACCCCCCUUUCCCCAUCUGAUUAUGUCUAACAUACUCUUGAAAAUGAAAAAGAGUAUCCUGCAUUAGAUGCAUUUUAAACUUCCUUUUAUCGGAGCACUUGCUCUCUCUAUAGAUCUGGGUUUUUACUAUAUCAAUUAUCUUCUUCUUUUUUUUAAAUAUAGGAAGUCUCAUAAUUGUUCAUGAAAAAGUGAAGAUAAUGAACAAUCUUAUAAUGAUUACACAAUUGAGAGUAGGGUAAACACGGAUCCUUGUUAAAGUAAAUAUGAGUGGUGGCAACUGUGGUGCCAGUAGUCGUGUUCAUGAGAAUGUGAGGGGUGGUAUGUGGUACAUAAUUGGUGGUAUAUGAUGUUAACGAAAAUUUGAGUGGUGUUAUGGUGGUGAAACAUGCAAACUAAUAACGCUAAAUCAAUCUCUAAUUAAUAUUAUGGAAAGAAAUGCAAAAUUAAGGACCUACAUAGGUGAUAGUGUGAGUAGUGUUAAAGAAACCCUAAGUCAUGGGAACUGGUGUGGCAAUAGUGGGGAGUAGGUGUUAUUUACCGUAUAAGUGGUAGUGUGUGGUGUACAAGUGGUGGUAUGUGGUGUUAAUAAAAUGUGGGUGUUAGUAUGGUGGUGACACACGCAAACUAAUAACGGUAGAUCGAUCUCUUUCAUCAAUAUUGUUAUGCAAAGAAAUGCAUAACUUUGGACCUAUAUGGGUAGUGAUGUGAGUUAUGUUAAAGAAGAUGUAAGUGAUGGUAUCUGGUGUGCCAGUAGUGGUGUACAGUUGGUGGUAUGGGGUGUAUAGGUGGUGUGUAAGUGGUGAAUAGGUGGUGGUAUGUGGUGUAUAGGUGGUGGUAUGUGGUGUUAAUGGAAAUGUGAGUGAUAGUAUGGUGGUGAUAUAUGCAAACUAAAAACGGUAGAUCAAUCUGUCAUGCUAAGAAAUGCAAAACUAUAUAGGUAGUGUUGUGAGUAAUGUUAAAGAAGAUGUAAGUGAUGGCAUCUGGUGUGGCAGUAGUGGUGUACAGGUGGUGGUAUGGGGUGUAUAGGUGGUGUUUGAGUGGUGUAUGGGUGGUGAUAUGUGGUGUUAAUGGAAAUGUGAGUGGUAGUAUGGUGGUGUUAAUGGAAAUGUACGUGGUAGUAUGAUGGUAAUACAUGCAAACUAACAACGGUAUAUCUAUCUCUUUCGUUGAUAUUGAUAUGUAAAACUAUCAAUUCUCAGACCUGUAUAGGUAGUGAUGUGAGUAAUGUUAAAGAAGAUGUAAGUGAUGACAUCUGAUGUGUCAGUAGUGGUGUACAAGUGGUGGUAAGUGGUGGUAUGUGGUGUAUGAGUGGUGUUAAUGGAAAUGUGAGUGGUAGUAUGGUGGUAUUAAUGGAAAUGUGCGUGGUAGUAUGAUGGUGAUACAAUGUACAUGCAAACUAAUAACGGUAGAUCUACCUCUUUCGUUGAUAUUGAUAUGUAAAACUAUCAAUUCUCUGACCUGUAUAGGUAGUGGUGUGAUUGGUGUAAAAACAAAAACAAAAAACCGGUGUUAAAACACAUGUGUUAGCAUCCGAUGUGCCAUUAGCUGUGUGUAAAUGGUGUUUAUGGAAAUGUGAAUGGUGGUACGUGGUGUAUAAAUGGUGGUAUGUGGUGUUAAUGAAAAUAAGGGUUGUGGUAUGUGGUGUUAACGAACGUGUAGGUAGAGUGUGUGCGAUGUUAACGAAAGUAUGAAUGGUAGUAGUUGGCUGGUUAUUUCACAAUUUUCACCCUUAUUAUACACCACUUGUGGAUGAAGUACUAUGAUUAAUGGUUAUUACCCCCUAGUAGCGAGGGCUCUUUAGCGUGCAAACGCCUACCGCCAUAGGGCCUUCCGAAAGACCCGUAAAUGCAGUGCAUUUGGAGGGCCAAUCACUACCAAUGUUUACGUCUUAGGUUGGCGAUGGCAUGAGGAGGAUUCGAAUUCAUGAGCUUCCGGUUAGGAAGCAAACGCUCUACCAUUGAGCAAUGCGACCGGUAAUUGCGUGGUGGUGGUGGUGGUGGAAGUAUAUAAAGAACCUAAAAGCCAGGAAUUAUUCGUUUACUUGCAUGACAAUCUGAGCAGUGUUUAUAUACUUCCACCUGAAGUGUGUCACAGUCUGUAUAAUGGAAUGAUAACGUGUUGUAAAGUUCUAACGAGAUACAAAUGGAGUUUAUCAUUUUGGUUCGUGGAUUUAUCAGAAUAAAGAGAAUCUUAUAUUUUCGGAAGCAAUCAACAGUUGUGAUCGAGAAGAGAGAAGGAGAAAAUUUCAAGUGUGAGAUUGUAUUUGAUGAGACUGAUAUGACAAUGGUACCAGAGCCAACUGUCAAACAGCACUCCAGCCAGCAACAUUUUCCUCUUGUAUUUUUUGACUUGGAAUCAACAGGAUUAACUAGAGAUUCUCAUAUUACACAGCUGUCGUGUGUGGUGAAGAAAAAUGUUCCACCUAUACCUUUCCAAAAAUACCUAUCACAGUAAAAGCCUCAGAAAUCACAGGAAUCGAAAUUGUCAAUGGAAAUAUGUUUAACAAAAAUAUAGAAGUCAAGCCUUUCAGCAGGAAUGGAUGCUCUGCUUAAUUUUGUUUCAAAAUUUUAAACUAAAGUAAUUCUGCAUUUACAAUGGCAGUGUAUGAAUGUCAACAAUAUACAGAAUGUUUAUUGUAUACUAUACCCAAUUUAACAUUUUCUGUUUAUGAGAGAGAGAGAGAGAGAGAGAGAGAGAGAGAGAGAGAGUUGCAAGAAUUGGAAAGUAACUGCAAAAAUCAUGUGCAAAUUGCAUCAGUAUUGAUGUGAACGGUGGUGAAUUUGUUCUCUGAAUUUUGAUACAUUUAAUGUACCAAAUGAAAUUAUCCUAAUAAAUUUCCAUUUCCAUUUCAAAUGAAAAUGAUUAAAUUUCCACACAAUGUGGGUUUUUUUUUAUUCAUUAGAAUACAUCAAAGUAAGUUAUAAUUAAAAAUAAGUUUAAAAAGAACUGUAUUUUAGUUUUAAGAAAAAAUGAUGGAGAAAAUUGGAAUUAGACUGCUUGAAAACUCUAGUUCACUAGUUCACUAGUUCGCUAGUAUGUGAUUGUUGCUUUAAGAAAGAUUUCAAAGCAUCAUAGCAAAUUAUAACUAAUAUUUUGCUUAUAACACUAAUAAAUUUUGAUAUUGUAAAUAUAGUCGCUUUAAAUGAAUGUAAAAUUUGAAUUUGAAAAAAAAAAUCUCAUUAUUUUAAGUAAAAUUACUUUCUUAAGUGGGUGAUGACCUGCAUUUUUUUCUUUGCAGAAUAAACUAUAUUGCAUACCUCGU